rnacentral:rRNA from 1 species
UGGGGAAUAUUGGACAAUGGGCGCAAGCCUGAUCCAGCCAUGCCGCGUGAGUGAUGAAGGCCUUAGGGUUGUAAAGCUCUUUUAUCCGGGACGAUAAUGACGGUACCGGAAGAAUAAGCCCCGGCUAACUUCGUGCCAGCAGCCGCGGUAAUACGAAGGGGGCUAGCGUUGCUCGGAAUCACUGGGCGUAAAGGGCGCGUAGGCGGACAUUUAAGUCAGGGGUGAAAUCCCGGGGCUCAACCUCGGAAUUGCCUUUGAUACUGGGUGUCUCGAGACCGGAAGAGGUAAUUGGAACCGCGAGUGUAGAGGUGAAAUUCGUAGAUACUCGCAAGAACACCAGUGGCGAAGGCGGCUUACUGGUCCGGUUCUGACGCUGAGGCGCGAAAGCGUGG